rnacentral:rRNA from 2 species
GSSUGGAAUCGGCAGAGAUGCCUUAGUGCCUUCGGGAACCGUGAGACAGGUGCUGCAUGGCUGUCGUCAGCUCGUGAGKGAAAUGUUGGGUUAAGUCCCGCAACGAGCGCAACCCUUAUCYUUUGUUGCCAGCGGUCCGGCCGGGAACUCAAAGGAGACUGCCAGUGAUAAACUGGAGGAAGGUGGGGAUGACGUCAAGUCAUCAUGGCCCUUACGACCAGGGCUACACACGUGCUACAAUGGCGCAUACAAAGAGAAGCGACCUCGCGAGAGCAAGCGGACCUCAUAAAGUGCGUCGUAGUCCGGAUUGGAGUCUGCAACUCGACUCCAUGAAGUCGGAAUCGCUAGUAAUCGUGGAUCAGAAUGCCACGGUGAAUACGUUCCCGGGUCUUGUACACACCGA